GGAAUUGGGCCCUUCCGAGAUGGGGAGGUGGGGGCGGACCUGCGGGCGGCACGGGUCUUACCCAAGUGGUGGGGCGCUCAGGACCCAACAGCUCGCAGAGCCGCGGCCGGGGAGCCUGCUGGGGACGUCGGAGAAGCAGGCAUGAAGGAGCCGCCUAGAAGAAUCUCCAUCAGUAAUCACAUUUGGGAUACAGGCUCAUUGGCAGACUUGGAAGAGACCUGACAGAGGAUGCUGGUGGUCCCUGAAAGACAACUGUCACAGGAAGAGGAACUUGGUCCACACCAGGACCAGAAAGUGGGAGGGAUCAGUCAUUCCAGACACCUCACAGGGGCUGGUGGUUGAACUCACCUUGACCCAGACUCUCUCAACAAAGAGAGUUGUCAUGCUGCGCUCACCACACCUGGGGCCCAAGCAGACCUCUGGUGGGGACCCCUGGCUGGGUAACAAGAUGGGGGACUUCCCUCAUCAUUCUGCUCUUGGAGCACCCUAAGGUGUGAGUGUCAGGACAGGAAUGGUGGGCACCCCAUGCAUGGCGCUUUGGCAGCAGCCUGGGCAAUAACACAGGCCAAUCUCUGGCUCUGCUAGCGACAUUAAUGCAGGAGCCUCAACUCAGCAGGGGCCCCAGGUGCCAACAACAGCAAAUGACUUCGAGACUGCUUUCCAAGUGCAGUGAGACACAUUAGGGAACACCCAGAAACAUAUGGGACAGGUGGACUUUGCAGGGAAAGGGAAUUCCCACACAGGCAGGAUGGCUCUGGGCUGACAUAAACCGUGGUUUAAUUUUUUUUUUUUUUUGUCUGUGUUGUGUCUUCACAAGCUUUCUUUAGUUGCGGUGAGUGGGGGCUACUCUUCGUUGCAGUGCGUGGGCCUCUCAUUGUCGUGGCUUCUCUUGUUGCGGAGCACGGGCUCUAGGCACGCAGGCUUCAGUAGUUGUGGCACAUGGGCUCAGUAGUUGUGACUUGCGGGCUCUAGAGCUCAGGCUCAGUAGUUGUAGUGCACGGGCUUAGUUGCUCCGCGGCAUGUGGGAUCUUCCCAGGCCAGGGCUCGAACCCAUGUCCCUUGCAUUGACAGGCAGAUUCUUAACCACUUCGCCACCAGGGAAGCCCGCGUGGUUUAAUUUUAAUGAGACAUUAUUCGUAACCAAAUGAUGAAUCCUGUAGAUAUUCAGGUUAUCUAAAAUAAAAAGUGACCAUACUGGAUAUACUGUUUUGUAAUCUGCUUUUUUUUCUUUCAACAAUUAUCAUAAACAUCUUUCCAUAAUUUUUAUUGCUACAUAGUAUUUCUUUCCUUAUGGGUCUACUCAAAUUUAUUGUUUUUAAUCACUUUUAAGUUUUUUGUGUUUUUUUUUUGGCUGCGUUGGGUCUUCACUGCUGCGCGCGGGCUUUCUCUAGUUGCGUCAAGUGGGGGCUACUCUUCGUUGCGGCGCACGGGCUUCUCAUUGCGGUGGCUUCUCUUGUUGCAGAGCACAGGCUCUAGGUGCGGGGGCUCCAGUAGUCGUGGCUCUUGGGCUCUAGAACGCAGGCUCAGUAGUUGUGGCUCAGGGGCUUAGUUGCUCUGUGGCAUGUGGGAUCUUCCCAGACCAGGGCUCGAACCUGCAUCCCCUGCAUUGGCAGGCAGAUUCUUAAUCACUGCGCCACCAGGGAAGUCCCUACUCAAAUUUAUUUAACUAAUCUCUUCCUGCUUGCUUUUGUAAGCUUUAUUGAAAUAUUACAUACAAUAAACUGCGCAUAUUUAAAGUAUACAACUUGAUGAGUUUUGUCAUAUAUGUAAUAUAUAUAUAUUUAUGACGUCGCUACAAUCAAGGUAAUGAACAUAUUCAUCACCCCCGAAGUUUCCUGAUGGCCCUUUAUAAUCUCUCCCUUCUGCCCCGCACUGCCCCUCCCCCACACCCCCCAGACACCAAAUAAUCUGCCUCUGUCACUCUAGAUUAGUUUGCAUUUUCCAGAAUUCUGUAUAAAUGGAAUCAUAUACUAUUCUUUUUGUCUGGCUUCAUUCACUUGGCAUAAUUAUUUUGCAGUGAAUAUAUACUGUUGCACACAUCAGUAAUUUGUUCCUUCUUAUUGCUGAGUAGAAUAUUAUCUUAUGGAUGUACCACAAUUUGGUUAUUCAUUUACUUAUUGAUGGACUUUGAGUUGUCUCUAGGUACUAACUAUUAUACAGAUAAAGCUGGUAUGGACAUUCAUGUUCAAAUCUAGGUGUGCACGUAUACUUUCAUUUCUCUUAGGUAUUUACCUAGGAGUGGAAUAGCCAGGUCACAUGAUAGAUGUAGGUUUAACAUUUUUUUAAACUGCCAAAAUUUUUCCAAAACAGUGGUAUCAUUUUACAUUCCCACCAGUAGUGUAUGAGAAUUCCAGUUCCUCUAUGUCUUCACCAGCAUUGAUUUGGUCAGUCAGUUUAAUCUUAGUCAUUUCAGUGGAUUCAUAGCAGUAUCACUGUGGGUUUGAGUUCAGUUUUCCUGUUCAUUGAUGUUGUUAAGGAUCUUUCUGUAUUUGUAUUCGCCAUGAUCUUUGUAUCUUCUUUGGUAAAAUGUCUAUUCAAAUCUUUCCCCCUUUUAAAAAAUUGGAUUGCUUGUCUUAUUAUUGAGUCAUAGGAGUUCUUUGUAUAUCCAAAAGAAUUGAAAGUAGGCUCUCCAAAAGAUAUUUGUACACCCGUGUUCACAGCAGCAUUAUUCACAACAGGCAAAAUGUAGAAGCAACCCAAAUAUCCAUCAGCUGAUGAACGGAUAAACAAGAAGUGGUAUAUACGUACAAUGAAAUAUUAAUCAGCCUUAAAACGGAAGGAAAUUCGACACAUGCUACAACAUGGAUGAACCUUGAAGACAUUAUGAUUAGUGAAAUAAGCCAGACACAAAAAGACAAGUACUGUAUGAUUCCACUCUAUGAGUUACCUAGAGUAGUCAAAUCCAUGGAAGCAAAACAGAAGGGUGGUUGCCAAGGGCUGGGGAAGGGGGAAAUGAGUUGUUUUACUGAGUAUAGUGUUUCAGGUUUGCAAGAAGAAAAGUUCUGGAGAUUGGUUGCACAACAAUGUGAAUAUAAUUAACACUACUGAACUGAACACUUAAAAAUUGUGAGGGCUUCCCUGGUGGCGCAGUGGUUGAGAGUCUGCCUGCCGAUGCAGGGGACGCGGGUUCGUGCCCCGGUCCGGGAAGAUCCUACAUGCCGCGGAGCGGCUGCCCCUGUGAGCCAUGGCCGCUGGGCCUGCGCGUCCGGAGCCUGUGCUCCGCAGCGGGAGAGGCCACAGCAGUGAGAGGCCCAAGUACAGCAAAAAAAAAAAAAAAAUUGUGAAGCUGGGGAAUUCCCUGGCCGUCCAGUGGUUAGGACUCUGCACUUUCACUGCCAAGGUUGGGGGCUCAAUCCCUGGUCAGGGAACUAAGAUCAUGCAAAUAGCAUGGUGUGGCCAAAAAAACACAAAAUCAUGAAGUUGGUAGAUUUUGUUAUGUAUAUUUUACCACAGUUAAAAAAUGUUUUAAAUAAGAGUUAUUCACAUAUCUAAUAAAUACAGUCAGCUGCUCCGUAUCUGUGAAUUCUGCACCUGAAGACUCAACCAACUGCAGAUCAAAAAUAUUCAAAAAAAAUUCCAGAAAGUUCCAAAAAGCAAAAGUUGAAUUUGCUGCCUGCUGACAGCUAUUUACGUAGCAUUUAUAUUGUAUUAGGUAUUAUAAGUAAUCUAAAGAUGAUUUAAAGUAUAUGGGGGGGGGGCUUCCCUGGUGGCGCAGUGGUUGAGAGUCUGCCUGCCAAUGCAGCGGACACUGGUUCAAGCCCUGGUCCGGGAAGAUCCCACAUGCCGCGGAGCAACUGGGCCCGUGAGCCACAACUACUGAGCCUGCGCGUCUGGAGCCUGUGCUCCGCAGCAAGAGAGGCCGCGACAGUGAGAGGCCCGCGCACCGCGAUGAAGAGUGGCCCCCACUUGCCACAACUAGAGAAAGCCCUCGCACAGAAACGAAGACCCAACACAGCCAAAAAUAAAUAAAUAAAUGAAUAAAUUUAUAAAGUAUAUGGGGGGAUGUGCCGAAAUGUAAAAUCCUACGCCAUUGUACAUAAGGGACUUGAGCAUCCACAAAUCUUGUUAUCCGCAGGAGUCCUGGAACCAGUCCUCUGAGGAUACUGAGGAGGACCAUAUUGUCAAUUGUCUUUCAUAUCGGUCUAUUGCUAAAAUUUCACAUGUGCUGAUGCUCCUUCUUUCCAGCCUUUUCAUUAUUGUGGGUUUGUACCUUUUUAUUUCCUUUACUGGCAUUUUAAUGGACUCUUGUUAACGAGGGGACAUUUUAAAAAUAAAUUAAAAUGGUCAGUCCACCAUCUCAAA